AUUGAACGCUGGCGGCAUGCCUAACACAUGCAAGUCGCGCGGAGCGGCGGACGGGUGAGUCAUGCCUAGGAAUCUGCCUGGUAGUGGGGGAUAACUACGGGACAGGGGCGCUAAUACCGCCUACUAUCAGAGCGGCCUAGGGCGGAUGAGCUAGUUGGUGGGGUAAAGGCUCACCAAGGCGACGAUCCGUAGCUGGUUGGCGCGGAUGAUCAGUCACACUGGAACUGAGACACGGUCCAGACUCCUACGGGAGGCAGCAGUGGGGAAUAUUGGACAAUGGGCGAAAGCCUGAUCCAGCCAUGCCGCGUGUGAGAAGAAGGUCUUCGGAUUGUAAAGCACUUUAAGUUGGGAGGCGGUACCAACAGAAUAAGCACCGGCUAACUUCGUGCCAGCAGCCGCGGUAAUUC
rnacentral:rRNA from 1 species